rnacentral:rRNA from 1 species
UGGGGAAUCUUCCGCAAUGGACGAAAGUCUGACGGAGCAACGCCGCGUGAGUGAAGAAGGUUUUCGGAUCGUAAAACUCUGUCUUUUGGGGCGAACGUGAGUAUGGUGAACAAUCAUAGUCAGUGACGGUACCAAAGGAGGAAGCCACGGCUAACUACGUGCCAGCAGCCGCGGUAAUACGUAGGUGGCAAGCGUUGUCCGGAAUUAUUGGGCGUAAAGAGCGCGUAGGCGGGAUAGUCAGUCUGUUGUAAAAGUGCGGGGCUCAACCCCGUGAUGGCAAUGGAAACAGCUAUUCUUGAGUGCAGGAGAGGAAAGUGGAAUUCCCAGUGUAGCGGUGAAAUGCGUAGAUAUUGGGAGGAACACCAGUGGCGAAGGCGACUUUCUGGACUGUGUCUGACGCUGAGGCGCGAAAGCCAGGGGAGCGAACGGGAUUAGAUACCCCGGUAGUCCUGGCCGUAAACGAUGGGUACUAGGUGUGGGAGGUAUCGACCCCUUCCGUGCCGGAGUUAACGCAAUAAGUACCCCGCCUGGGGAGUACGGUCGCAAGACUGAAACUUAAAUGAAUUGACGGGGUCAUAGCUGUUUCCU